UAGCAGCACGUAAAUAUUGGUGUUAAAACUGUAAAUAUCUCCAGUAUUAACUGUGCUGCUGAA
rnacentral:pre_miRNA from 1 species